rnacentral:snRNA from 1 species
GUGCCCACUUAGGCAGCACAUGUAUUAAAAUUGGAACAACACAGGGAAGAGGAGUGUGGUCCCUCUGUGAGGAUGACAUGCAAAUCCACGAAGCCUUCUGUAUUUUU